GUGGGUGGGCGCGCGGGGCUGUAGGAUCCACCCGCCUCGGGAUCCACGGAGCUGGGUCCCCGCCGCGCCCCGCGGACCCCACGGCCCUUCCGCUCCGCUCGGCCUCCACCACCCUGGCCUCGAGCUGCAGCCGUUCCAAGGACAACGGCCAUCCCUGUGGCUGGGCCGCCGGCUACGCAAUGCUGUCUCUCUUGCUGAUCCUCUCAGGCCUGGGCCGGCUGACCUCCGCGGGCCCACGCCACUUAUUCCAUCAAAAUUGAGGGGAAACCAUACACUUCCUGCUUGAAAAACAGUCAUUUUUACACCCACAUUUCCUGGUGUAUUUAUACAACAAAUCAGGAACAUUGUAUGCAGAUUCUUCAUUUUCAAAGGGUCAUUGCUUUUACCAAGGAUAUGCUGCAGACAUUCCAAAAUCAGUUGUGGCACUACGCACCUGUUCUGGACUCAGAGGAUUACUGCAGUUAGAUAAUAUCAGUUAUGGUAUUGAACCAUUGGAAUCUUCACCUACAUAUAAGCAUGUAGUUUAUCGAAUUAAAAAUGAUGCUAUUGGUCAUUCCUCCUUUCAAGAAAAUUAUCCUGUGGCUCAAUAUAUAGAUCAGUCCUACAGGAUUCUUGUCAAAUCAGACAUAAAUUCAGGUGCCAUGCUAUCGAAAAGAACUCUGAAAAUACAAAUCAUUAUGGAUAAAGCCAUGUAUGCUUAUAUGGGCUCCACGGUGGCAGUUGCAGUUGAGAAAGUUUUCCAAAUCUUUGGUCUUAUCAACACUAUGUUUUCCCAGCUUAAUAUGACAGUUAUGCUGUCUUCCUUGGAGAUCUGGUCAGAUCAAAAUAAGAUUUCAACAAGUGGUCAUGCUGAUGAAAUACUACAGCGAUUUUUGCCUUGGAAACAAAAAUUUUUGUUUCAAAGGUCUCAUGAUAUGACAUACUUAUUAAUUUAUAGGAACCAUUCUACUUAUGUGGGAGCAACAUAUCACGGAAUGGCAUGCGAUCCAAAGUUUGCAACAGGAAUUGCUCUGUAUCCAAAGAAAAUCACUGCAGAGGCCUUUUCAGUUGUUAUGGCACAGUUGCUUGGAAUUAAUCUGGGAUUGACAUAUGAUGAUAUCUACAAUUGUUACUGUCCAGGAACUACAUGCAUAAUGAAUCCUGAUGCGAUAUGAUCCCAUGGUAUGAAGUUUUUUAGCAGUUGCAGCAUGGAUGGAUUUAAACGGAUAGUUCUGCAGCCUGAACUUAAAUGUUUUCAGGAUAAAACAGUUUCAAAAAUGACUUACCGAAAAUCUUCAACUUGUGGCAAUGGAAUUUUGGAACCUACAGAGCAGUGUGAUUGUGGCUAUAAAGAGGCAUGCACUCAUAAAAAAUGCUGUAAUCCUGCAGAUUGUACUCUAGUUAGAUCUGCAGAAUGUGGCACUGGAUCAUGCUGUAACAAUAAAACUUGUACGAUCCACGAAAGAGGCCAUGUCUGCAGAAAAAGUGUAGAUAUGUGUGAUUUUCCAGAAUAUUGCAAUGGAACAUCUGAGUUUUGUGUACCUGAUGUGAAAGCUGCUGAUUUAGAAUACUGCAGUAAUAAGACUAGCUAUUGCUUUAAAGGAGUAUGCAGAGAAAGGGAUAGACAGUGUUCACAGUUAUUUGGAAAAUUUGCUAAGUCUGCUAAUCUUCUGUGUACAGAAGAAGUGAAUUUUCAAAAUGACAAAUUUGGAAACUGUGGUUCCCGUUGUGAUUUUUUUGAUAUCCUUUGUGGAAAGAUUGUUUGUCACUGGAUACAUUCAGAACUAGUACCAAUGACAGACUUAGACAUACAAUAUACUUACCUUAGAGGUCACGUAUGUUUGUCCGCACAUGCAAGAAAUGGUUCAAAACAAUCGGAGACCUAUACAGAAGAUAUAACUGCAUGUGGCCAACACAAGGUAUGUCACUCCCGAGAAUGCAGAAAUUUUAGUGAACUAAAUAUAACAAAAUAUACUACAAAUUGUGGACAGAAUGGGAUUUGCAAUGAACAUUUCCAUUGUCAAUGUGAUCCUGGUUAUGCUCCUCCAGAUUGUGAGCCAGCAAUGUCAUCACCAGGAGGAAGUAUCAAUGAUGGAUUUUGGCUUACAGUAGAAAAAAGUGUACCCUUGCUUCCAAAACGACGUGCUGCUCCUAAAAACAAUGGUCUUUUGAUCAGUUUCUACAUUUUUUCACCUUUGCUCAUUUUAAUUGCUAUUGUUAGUCUUAAAUGGAAUAAAAUGAAGAGAUUUCGGAGCAAAGUGGGAACAGUAAGCAGCAGAUCUAUCUCAGAAGACAGCGGUAGUAACAGCAGCCAGUCACAGAGUUAAAGUAACCAAGUGAUAAAAUCAAAGCCAUCGGAUGAAGAAAGGAUAUUACCAAGAAACUCACCAUUAACUUAAAACUUUCAACUUCACAGAAAAAAAUAAAUCAUAUGACUAAAAGCAUA
rnacentral:lncRNA from 1 species